UCCGGGGGGGGCAAGCGUUGUUCGGAAUUACUGGGCGUAAAGGGCUCGUAGGCGGCCAACUAAGUCAGACGUGAAAUCCCUCGGCUUAACCGGGGAACUGCAUCUGAUACUGGAUGGCUUGAGUUCGGGAGAGGGAUGUGGAAUUCCAGGUGUAGCGGUGAAAUUCGUAGAUAUGGGGAGGAACACCGGUGGCGAAGGCGGCCAUCUGGACGGUGACUGACGCUGAGACGCGAAAGCGUGGGGAGCAAACAGG
rnacentral:rRNA from 1 species